CCGAGGAACUCUGAUCUAGAGUGUAGUUAGAAUAAAGUAGAUCAGGAAACGAAUCUGAGUUUAGAUUGGAAUUCGAUAUAAUUAGCGAUUCCAAUGAUCUAUUAGCAACGGCACAGUUGUAAUUAAUUAAUCGCUGCCACUGAAAUCGGCAACCCGGCCGUUCUUUUGACGUAAUUAAGAAAACUCGUUAUCUUGUUCGUGGUAGGAGGAAGAGCCAUUUAUCUCGUUGUUUACUAAACACCGUGUCUCGGGUUCAUAGAAUCGUCGAACGAAGUUUACAAACUCGCCAGCGACCCAGUCUUCUAGAUAUUUAAAUAAAUACACAAAAUCACUGCGUGCCUCUCUUUUUUUAUUUUUGUUUCGUUCAGGCAUAGUAAACCAUAGUAAACCAUCUUCAUUCAUGAGCGGGCGUAGAUUACAUACAAUAUUACAUACAAUAUUACAUUCGAUAAAAUAACUAUCUUAUUUUCCAACUGUGACAACUAUUCUUUCAAUGAUGAAUUCCUUUAUGGAAAAUUCGUAUGGGGAAGUUUAAUGGCAAACUGUGGGACGUACUGCCGACAGAACCGGUACAAUUACAUCGAACUAACAAAAUCUUGUUUUGUUCUCGGCCGAGGAAUCGUCGAACUAGUUUUCGCAAAGAACAUCGAGCAGCUACCCUUAUUGGACCACAAUGUUGGAUAUCAAGAAUCGCAAACCCACGACAAAGAAGAGACCUUCCAAGUCUGAAAGCUCCGAAGAACAUACCUGUUUAAAGUUGGUUCCUAGGAGGAUCUUCCCUCGGUCCCAGCAGGAUGAAUCGUAAAACAGCACUUUCCUCGCAGAACAUAAGAAAACCGUCGCUCUUCAAGAUCCACCGAUCUCUUCGAUUCCUCCACUCGAAUCAACAGAGGCUCUCAGCAACUUGGAACUCGAGUCACGAAAGAACGUAGAGAGAGGGUAUCAGAAUCACUCGGGGGUCUGUAUAUCACAGUAACGGCUUUAUCUUUGACUCUAGGACAUCGGUGAUCGGUGAUCGAUUCGGUUUUCGCGAAGAACGAGCAGUGACUUCGGGUACACGCGUCGGCAGAGGAAAGCCAGCCAAGAUUGAGACUGAUUGAGACUGUUCCGAGUCAGCUAGCGAGCGGAUUCGAAACGGGUGGAGGCGCGCGGAGGCGGAGUUACGCUGCUCGAGAGAGCCGGCCAACUUAUCGACGCCCUCCUACUCUUCUGGUUCGCGCUCUCCACUGGCUCUCCGCCUCUUCUACCUCUCGACCGAAAGCUGCCCGACCGAAUCCUCUCGAUCAUGUCCCCGAGCCAGCGACCAGCGUGGACCUGCUCUUGCCAGAUCCGAUCCAAGCAGAUUUAGAAGCCUGGACCAAGAGUCUUGGCUUCUGAAAAGUCAGAACAUUUCUGACUCAUCGGGAACUUACAACCCUUUACUAGGAUUUAGGGAUCAUGAUCGAAACACUUUUGGUUCAUCAGGGAAGCCUUACAAUAGGCGAUGAGAACCUAGGAUACUAGAAUUCAAGGUGAUCGGAAUUGAUGCGAACAUAGGACAUGGCCAGGACAGAGCAGAAAAAUCUGGGACUGCGAGAGCUUGUUUUGUGGGUCAGUCGAUCGUCGCGCGUCGUGCCAGCAUAAAAUGACUGCCGUAAGCGUCGGGAUUAUGUAAGCGGGCUCAGGUGACCAUUGAGAAAUCAUUAGGCAACGAUUAUUCUGCGCGAUAAUCAUUAGCUGGAAUAACCGAGCGGGAAUUAAGGUCACCGGUCGAAGCGAAACGGCGAGCAACUUCGGCGAAUUCGGAUGAGCCUCGUUUCGCCAUCGGGUGCCCUGAAUUGCACCUUGUCUGUACACAGGUCGGACCGAGUCCCCUGCGUUGCCUCUGUAACGCGCAACCGCGAUUUUUAAUCGACGCGCACGUGUCCAUCGGGAUCAAUACAGCGGGACAGACCAUGCUGCAGCUGUCGGGACCGUAAUGAAGCAUUUAACAACUCCAAGCGGAUUAUUCGCUUAACAUUCUACAUGCAGCAAACGCCGAACAGUUUCAUCUUCUUCCAAACCCGAACCAUAUUCUGACACAUUUCUGCCGAAUUCAUGAAACAGCGUGAGCGGAAGCUCUGCAAGCUCUGGAAUUUCGAGCUGUUUUGUUUCUAUCUAUAUGAAAGCGGAGUUUGUUUUUUUAGAAUUCACGAGAGGAGAACGUAUUCGGCUAAUUGAUCCGUCGAGUGUAUGUGUGUCAGGCGCGUAGAGAACAGUAGCGGGAGAGACGUGUUCCACACAUGGUGGAGCAGAGGGGAAGGAAAAGCAGUCGCCAUGCUUUGGGCGGAGUCUGCGGGACAUUAAGCUCGUUCAUUGGACGAAGAACCGACUUGAUGCAUCAACUUGCACCACUAUGCUCCGGCCCAGUCGGCGCUUCCUUUCCCGUAUCCUUGCCUGGCGUCGCAACACUCGUGACUUGCGGCCGACCGCGACGCUUACAAGUUGUUGUCCUGGGCGCUGGAUGUCCUUCACUUAGCCAUGUCAAACCUUGACGAUAGCUGUGCUCUGGUUAUUCGCCUUUUGGAAUAAAGCGCUAAGAAAAUUCGUCUGCGAGAUGCUUUUGAUCCAUCGGUAGUUUCAGGUUCAAGAAAAUAAUUGCGAGGCCUGAGAGAAAAUUGUACGAUGUACGAAGAAUUUGUGAAGAAAGUUGGUAGGAAAGAUGGUAGGACCGGAAAGAAAUAGCGAAACUAGGAAAAGAUGGUAGAGCUCGAACAAAUACUAUAGGACGUAGAAAAAACGUGAGGCUAACGAGAAAAUUGUUCAGCAUAAGAAUCGUAAUCGGAACCGAGAUCGAGACAUAUGUAUAAACAGGGCCCGAUAUUCGAGCCAUUGAUCGUGAACAAAUAUUUCCUACACGAUAUAGGAGCGAUUCAGAGAAAUGGUCCGCGAUACGUGUAGCCGAUUAUGUAACACGAGACUACGUGAUUUAGGCAGGAUACUGAUAUCGGGCGUAUCGAAGCCUCGGGUUCUUUAUCCCCACGGAUAACGGUUACAAUUUUUAUGAACAAUGAAUGUACUUAUACAUAUUUCAAAUAUUAUUGUUCGCAGGCUGGACUCGAACGGAUGAUUGUCCGGUAAUAAGAUGAUUAAAUGAUUAAAUUGCCGUUUGAAAUUUGC